rnacentral:rRNA from 1 species
CGUGGGGAGCAAACAGGAUUAGAUACCUGGUAGUCCACGCUGUAAACGAUGUCGAUUUGGAGGUUGUGCCCUGAGGCGUGGCUUCCGGAGCUAACGCGUUAAAUCGACCGCUGGGGAGUACGGCCGCAAGGUUAAAACUCAAAUGAAUUGACGGGGGCCCGCACAAGCGGUGGAGCAUGUGGUUUAAUUCGAUGCAACGCGAAGAACCUUACCUACUCUUGACAUCCAGAGAACUUAGCAGAGAUGCUUUGGUGCCUUCGGGAACUCUGAGACAGGUGCUGCAUGGCUGUCGUCAGCUCGUGUUGUGAAAUGUUGGGUUAAGUCCCGCAACGAGCGCAACCCUUAUCCUUUGUUGCCAGCGGUUCGGCCGGGAACUCAAAGGAGACUGCCAGUGAUAAACUGGAGGAAGGUGGGGAUGACGUCAAGUCAUCAUGGCCCUUACGAGUAGGGCUACACACGUGCUACAAUGGCGUAUACAAAGAGAAGCGACCUCGCGAGAGCAAGCGGACCUCAUAAAGUACGUCGUAGUCCGGAUUGGAGUCUGCAACUCGACUCCAUGAAGUCGGAAUCGCUAGUAAUCGUAGAUCAGAAUGCUACGGUGAAUACGUUCCCGGGCCUUGUACACACCGCCCGUCACACCAUGGGAGUGGGUUGCAAAAGAAGUAGGUAGCUUAACCUUCGGGAGGGCGCUUACCACUUUGUGAUUCAUGACUGGGGUGAAGUCGUAACAAGGUAACCA